rnacentral:rRNA from 1 species
AAAUCGUAACAAGGUUUCCGUAGGUGAACCGUGCGGAAGGAUCAUUA